UAUGAUGAGAGUUUAAAUUCCUACCACAGCCAUAUAUACAUGCUUGCUAGACUUUGAGCCACACGUUUACUUUUUACUGCUUAUGAGCAUUGAGUGUGGUCAAGCUGUGUAGACCCUUAGGAGCUUGUCAUGUGGUUAAAUCAAGAUUUACUUGCACGUUCACUCACAUGCUGCUGCUCCGGAAGUACGCAUCCACUAUAUCCACCCAUUUCAAUCUCCAGAACCAGCUAAAAAUAUUCUACUCCUAAUCCGGGAGAGAAUAGCCAAAAAUAUUUCUGUUUACCCCUGUGAAAUAAAUACUCAAGUUAUCUUCGUUACUGCCACUUGCUAUAUUAUUUCAGGAGAUGAGUGCUCUAAAAAAAGAAAAGACAAAGAUACGAGGAAAUAAAAAGGGGCAAGUGCCCGGAACCUCGAAAGAAAAUAAAAAGUGAGACGAGAGGUAAAAAUGGACAAGUGUCUGACAGUAGAAUUAGGGGUACAAGAUACCCACCUGAGAGAAAAAAAAGAAAUAUAGAGCAUCUCAUUCUCCUCAAAAAGUUUCAAAAGAGUAAGGGAGGUAUGUAUCCCCUCAGAAGAGCACAAGUAGAAUUAGACUUUCACCAUUGUUAUCACCAUCAUCACCAUUCACCAUUCAUUCGCCACACAUGCACAUCUUGAUUUGACUUAUUGACUUGUUUCUUUGGAUCCAUGGUUUGACUAUACAAUAAAUGUCUUGUAAGUAUGUAUACUUUAUCUCCCACCUAUGAGCUCCAGAUAUAAAAGCCUUAUUAGAAUAGGG
rnacentral:lncRNA from 1 species